GAUGGACGCUAGCGACAGGCUUAAUACAUGCAAGUCGAGGGGUAGCACAGGUAGCAAUACUGGGUGGCGACCGGCAAACGGGUGCGGAACACGUACACAACUUACCUUAGAGUGGGGGAUAGCCCAGGGAAACUUGGAUUAAUACCCCAUAAAACAGGGGGCCCGCAUGGGCAUAUUGUUAAAGAUUUAUCGCUUUAAGAUGGGUGUGCGUAUGAUUAGGUAGUUGGUAGGGUAAAGGCCUACCAAGCCGACGAUCAUUAACUGGUGUGAGAGCACGACCAGUCACACGGGCACCGAGACACGGGCCCGACUCCUACGGGAGGCAGCAGUAAGGAAUAUUGGUCAAUGGACGGAAGUCUGAACCAGCCAUGCCGCGUGAAGGAUGAAGGUCCUCUGGAUUGUAAACUUCUUUUAUAGGGGGCGAAAAAGGGCCAUUCUUGGUCAACUGACGGUACCCUAUGAAUAAGCACCGGCUAACUCCGUGCCAGCCGCCGCGGUAACAC
rnacentral:rRNA from 1 species